rnacentral:rRNA from 1 species
ACACAUGCAAGUCGAACGGUAACAGGAAGAAGCUUCGCUUCUUUGCUGACGAGUGGCGGACGGGUGAGUAAUGUCUGGGAAACUGCCUGAUGGAGGGGGAUAACUACUGGAAACGGUAGCUAAUACCGCAUAACGUCGCAAGACCAAAGAGGGGGACCUUCGGGCCUCUUGCCAUCGGAUGUGCCCAGAUGGGAUUAGCUAGUAGGUGGGGUAACGGCUCACCUAGGCGACGAUCCCUAGCUGGUCUGAGAGGAUGACCAGCCACACUGGAACUGAGACACGGUCCAGACUCCUACGGGAGGCAGCAGUGGGGAAUAUUGCACAAUGGGCGCAAGCCUGAUGCAGCCAUGCCGCGUGUAUGAAGAAGGCCUUCGGGUUGUAAAGUACUUUCAGCGGGGAGGAAGGGAGUAAAGUUAAUACCUUUGCUCAUUGACGUUACCCGCAGAAGAAGCACCGGCUAACUCCGUGCCAGCAGCCGCGGUAAUACGGAGGGUGCAAGCGUUAAUCGGAAUUACUGGGCGUAAAGCGCACGCAGGCGGUUUGUUAAGUCAGAUGUGAAAUCCCCGGGCUCAACCUGGGAACUGCAUCUGAUACUGGCAAGCUUGAGUCUCGUAGAGGGGGGUAGAAUUCCAGGUGUAGCGGUGAAAUGCGUAGAGAUCUGGAGGAAUACCGGUGGCGAAGGCGGCCCCCUGGACGAAGACUGACGCUCAGGUGCGAAAGCGUGGGGAGCAAACAGGAUUAGAUACCCUGGUAGUCCACGCCGUAAACGAUGUCGACUUGGAGGUUGUGCCCUUGAGGCGUGGCUUCCGGAGCUAACGCGUUAAGUCGACCGCCUGGGGAGUACGGCCGCAAAGUUAAAACUAAAUGAAUUGACGGGGGCCCGCACAAGCGGUGGAGCAUGUGGUUUAAUUCGAUGCAACGAGAAGAACCUUACCUGGUCUUGACAUGCAUGGAAGUUUUCAGAGAUGAGAAUGUGCCUUCGGGAUCCGUGAGACAGGUGCUGCAUGGCUGUCGUCAGCUCGUGUUGUGAAAUGUUGGGUUAAGUUCCGCAACGAGCGCAUCCCUUAUCCUUUGUUGCCAGCGGUCCGGCCGGGAAUUCAAAGGAGACUGCCAGUGAUAAACUGGAGGAAGGUGGGGAUGACGUCAAGUCAUCAUGGCCUUUACGACCAGGGCUACACACGUGCUACAAUGGCGCAUACAAAGAGAAGUGACCUCGCGAGAGCAAGCGGACCUCAUAAAGUGCGUCGUAGUCCGGAUUGGAGUCUGCAACUCGACUCCAUGAAGUCGGAAUCGAUAGUAAUCGUGGAUCAGAAUGCCACGGUGAAUACGUUCCCGGGCCUUGUACACACCGCCCGUCACACCAUGGGAGUGGGUUGCAAAAGAAGUAGGUAGCUUAACCUUCGGGAGGGCGCUUACCACUUUGUGAUUCAUGAC